rnacentral:rRNA from 1 species
UACGUAGGGUGCGAGCGUUGUCCGGAAUUAUUGGGCGUAAAGAGCUCGUAGGCGGUCUGUCGCGUCGAUCGUGAAAACUUGGGGCUUAACCCUGAGCUUGCGGUCGAUACGGGCAUGACUGGAGUUCGGCAGGGGAGACUGGAAUUCCUGGUGUAGCGGUGAAAUGCGCAGAUAUCAGGAGGAACACCGGUGGCGAAGGCGGGUCUCUGGACCGAUACUGACACUGAGGAGCGAAAGCGUGGGGAGCGAACAGG